rnacentral:sRNA from 2 species
GUCCAGCCCCGAUAGAAGCGGUAUCCUUUUUUUCCCUUCUUUAGGGAAGAAAAGAUACAAGCGGAUAGCGGGACUAAAG